AAUUUCACACCUGGAUGUGCUCACUCAACCAAGAAUAUAGAGAAAGAGCUUCUGCCCUGAGACUCAGAAAAAUACUCUCCUUGCUUCAUAUCAGUGUAGAUUUCUAGCCUCUGAUCAUGGCUUAAGAGAUAUUCACUGGGG
rnacentral:lncRNA from 1 species